GAAAGAAUGAUGCCUUCAAGAAUUCAAAAAAGAAGUUUCUGGAAGCAAUACAGUCCAGCUUUGAAGACAUUGAAGGAGAAGUUCUUCAGGCAAUAUCGGUGACAUCCUUCAAAACAUGGCCUUACAAAGAAAACUCAAAAGACUUUGACAAUGAAGACAUGGGAACUCUGAUCAGUCAGUUUCAACCAGUACUAGAGGCACAGGGUGUUAAUUGUAGGAAAAUAGAGAAUGAAUGGACAGUUCUUAAGACUAGUUUAUAUAACAAGAAUGACUGGGAUAAGCUGAAAACCUGGCCUGAACUCAACAGAGAAUUCAGAGAUAAAUAUGGCCAUAUUCUGAGUUUGAUGGACUUGUUCCUAACUUUGCCAGUCAGCACAUCAGGAUGUGUCAGAGGCUUUUCCAAAAUAAAGAUGAUAAAAAGUGA